GGAGCACUAAGAAGAAGAAAAAUAACCUCUGAGCCAGCCAUUCAGCAACAAGUUGUGAAACCAUCACUGUCAGGGCUACGAAUACAAAUCCUUAAAGUACCUGUGAUUGAGAAAGCCAGGACUGGCUCUGUUUCUCCAUACCACAGAAGAGCAGAACUGGAAGUCGACACUUCAGUCCUGGAAGAGGAGGACAGGGAAAGGGAGCUCAAAAUAACAUAUAAAAGGCAAGCUACGCCAGAGGAGAGUAGAAAAUCGUCGCUGCAAUAUCCAGAAAUUAAAACCUUUUUGCCACCAUUACCUGGCCUUGAAGAUUUUGAGAGACAUGCACAGAGAA